UACGUAGGUGGCGAUCGUUGUCCGGAAUUACUGGGUGUAAAGGGCGUGUAGGCGGGAUUGCAAGUCAGAUGUGAAAUUCCAAGGCUCAACUUUGGAGCUGCAUCUGAAACUGUAAUUCUUGAGUGCUGGAGAGGAUAGUGGAAUUCCUAGUGUAGCGGUGAAAUGCGUAGAUAUUAGGAGGAACACCAGUGGCGAAGGCGGCUAUCUGGACAGUAACUGACGCUGAGGCGCGAAAGCGUGGGUAGAAAACAGG
rnacentral:rRNA from 1 species